AUUGAACGCUGGCGGCAGGCCUAACACAUGCAAGUAGAACGAGUGGCGGACGGGUGAGUAAUGUCUGGGAAACUGCCUGAUGGAGGGGGAUAACUACUGGAAACGGUAGCUAAUACCGCAUACCAUCAGAUGUGCCCAGAUGGGAUUAGCUAGUUGGUGGGGUAAAGGCUCACCAAGGCGACGAUCCCUAGCUUGUCUGAGAGGAUGACCGGCCACACUGGAACUGAGACACGGUCCAGACUCCUACGGGAGGCAGCAGUGGGGAAUAUUGCACAAGGGGCGCAAGCCUGAUGCAGCCAUGCCGCGUGUAUGAAGAAGGCCUUCGGGUUGUAAAGUACUUUCAGCGGGGAGGCGUUACCCGCAGAAGAAGCACCGGCUAACUCCGUGCCAGCAGCCGCGGUAAUUC
rnacentral:rRNA from 1 species